GCGCCCGUAGCUCAGUUGGUAGAGCAGAUCCCUCUUAAGGAUACGGUCGUCCGUUCGAAUCGGACCGGGCGCA
rfam:Candidatus Yanofskybacteria bacterium RIFCSPLOWO2_02_FTLL_47_9b rifcsplowo2_02_scaffold_25142, whole genome shotgun sequence.